CCUACGGGUGGCAGCAGUGAGGAAUAUUGGUCAAUGGACGGAAGUCUGAACCAGCCAUGCCGCGUGCAGGAAGACGGCCCUAUGAGUUGUAAACUGCUUUUGUACAAGGGUAAACCUGAACACGUGUAUUUAGCUGCAAGUACUUUAUGAAUAAGGAUCGGCUAACUCCGUGCCAGCAGCCGCGGUAAUACGGAGGAUCCAAGCGUUAUCCGGAUUUAUUGGGUUUAAAGGGUGCGUAGGUGGGUUGAUAAGUUAGGGGUGAAAUGUUCGGGCUUAACUCGGGAACUGCAUUUAAUACUGGUGGUCUUGAGUAUAGAUGCGGUAGGCGGAAUGUGUGGUGUAGCGGUGAAAUGCUUAGAGAUCAUACAGAACCCCGAUUGCGAAGGCAGCUUACCAAUCUAUAUCUGACGUUGAGGCACGAAAGCGUGGGGAGCAAACAGGAUUAGAUACCCUGGUAGUC
rnacentral:rRNA from 1 species